AUACUUCUCUGGCAGGGGAGAUACCAUGAUCACUAAGGCAGUUUUCCCAGGGUGAGGUUCAUCCUUUGCACUCUUGAGUGUGCUGACUCCUGCGAUUUCCCCAAAUGCAGGAAGCUCGACAGCAUAAUUUCUGGUAGGGGGGGAUGGCGUUCACACUCUCCCCUG
ensembl:snRNA U1 U1 spliceosomal RNA